rnacentral:misc_RNA from 1 species
AACAUCGCGCACCUGCGGGAACCUGCGGAGGGAUCAUUAAUGAUUGGUGGCUGUUGCUGACUAGUGUUUCUAGUAUGUGCACGCCACACCUUCAAUCCCACUUACACCUGUGCACCUUCUGUAAUAGAUCAAUGUGGAUACGGAGAUAUGAAAGUUUGCGCUCUCGUACUCUGUUGAAGCAGUCUACUACGUUUUUUUACACACACACAAUAGUCAUUGAAUGUAUUUUUUAUUCUUAUG